UACGUAGGGAGCAAGCGUUGUCCGGAAUCAUUGGGCGUAAAGCGCGCGUAGGCGGCCCGGUAAGUCCGUUGUAAAAGUCGAAGGCUCAACCUUCGAAAGCCGAUGGAUACUGCCGGGCUAGAGUUCGGAAGAGGAGAGUGGAAUUCCUGGUGUAGCGGUGAAAUGCGCAGAUAUCAGGAAGAACACCAAUGGCGAAAGCAGCUCUCUGGGACGGUACUGACGCUGAGACGCGAAAGCGUGGGGAGCGAACAGG
rnacentral:rRNA from 1 species